GAGCUUAUAAAGGUUAUUAUGGAGGUUAUAAAGGUUAUUAUAGAGAAUAUUAUGGAGGUUAUAGAGGAUAUUAUGAAGUUUCUAAAGGUUAUUAUGGAGGAUAUAAAGGUUCCAUCUCACCCUGGAGGUUAUGGAGGUUAUAAAGGUUAUUAUGGAGGUUAUAAAUGUUGUUAUGGAGGUUAUAAAGGUUAUUAUGGAGGUUAUAAAGGUUAUUAUGGAGGUUAUAAAGGUUAUUAUGGAGCUUAUAAAGGUUAUUAUGGAGGUUAUAAAGGUUAUUAUGGAGGUUAUAGAGGUUGUUAUAUAGGUUAUUAUGGAGGUUAUAAAGGUUAUUAUGGAGGUUAUAAAGGUUGUUAUGGAGGUUAUAAAGGUUAUUAUGGAGGUUAUAAAGGUUAUUAUGGAGGUUAUAAAGGUUAUUAUGGAGCUUAUAAAGGUUAUUAUGGAGGUUAUAAAGGGUAUUAUGGAGGUUAUAAAGGUUAUUAUGGAGGUUAUAAAGGUUAUUAUGGAGGUUAUUAUGGAGGUUAUAAAGGUUAUUAUGGAGGUUAUUAUGGAGCUUAUAAAGGUUAUUAUGGAGGUUAUAUAGGUUAUUAUGGAGGUUAUUAUGGAGGUUAUAAAGGGUAUUAUGGAGGUUAUAAAGGUUAUUAUGGAGGUUAUAAAGGUUAUUAUGGAGGUUAUUAUGGAGGUUAUAAAGG